GUGGUCUCACUUCAGCAGCACACCUACAAAAACUGGAACGAGACAGAGAAGAUUAGCAUGGCCCCCGUGAAAGAAUGUUGCAGAAUUCAGUAAGUCACCCUCUCCUGCU